rnacentral:rRNA from 1 species
GAUGAACGCUGGCGGCGUGCUUAACACAUGCAAGUCGAACGAAGCACUUUAUUUGAUUUCCUUCGGGACUGAUUAUUUUGUGACUGAGUGGCGGACGGGUGAGUAACGCGUGGGUAACCUGCCUUGUACAGGGGGAUAACAGUUGGAAACGGCUGCUAAUACCGCAUAAGCGCCCAGCAUCGCAUGAUGCAGUGUGAAAAACUCCGGUGGUAUAAGAAGGACCCGCGUUGGAUUAGCUAGUUGGUGAGGUAGCGGCCCACCAAGGCGACGAUCCAUAGCCGACCUGAGAGGGUGACCGGCCACAUUGGGACUGAGACACGGCCCAAACUCCUACGGGAGGCAGCAGUGGGGAAUAUUGCACAAUGGGCGAAAGCAUGAUGCAGCGACGCCGCGUGAGCGAAGAAGUAUUUCGGUAUGUAAAGCUCUAUAAGCAGGGAAGAUAAUGACGGUACCUGACUAAGAAGCACCGGCUAAAUACGUG